UGGGGAAUAUUGGACAAUGGGCGCAAGCCUGAUCCAGCCAUGCCGCGUGGGUGAAGAAGGCCUUAGGGUUGUAAACCCCUUUCAGCGGGGAAGAUAAUGACGGUACCCGCAGAAGAAGUCCCGGCUAACUCCGUGCCAGCAGCCGCGGUAAUACGGAGGGGACUAGCGUUGUUCGGAAUUACUGGGCGUAAAGCGCACGUAGGCGGAUUUGUAAGUCAGGGGUGAAAUCCCGGGGCUCAACCUCGGAAC
rnacentral:rRNA from 1 species